GAUGAAGAACGUAGCGAAAUGCGAUAAGUAGUGUGAAUUGCAGAAUUCAGUGAAUCAUCGAAUCUUUGAACGCACAUUUCGCCCUUUGGUAUUCCAAAGGGCAUGCCUGUUCGAGCGUCAUUUGUACCCUCAAGCUUUGCUUGGUGUUGGGCGUCUUGUCUCUAGCUUUGCUGGAGACUCGCCUUAAAGUAAUUGGCAGCCGGCCUACUGGUUUCGGAGCGCAGCACAAGUCGCACUCUCUAUCAGCAAAGGUCUAGCAUCCAUUAAGCCUUUUUUUCAACUUUUGACCUCGGAUCAGGUAGGGAUACCCGCUGAACUUAAGCAUAUCAAUAAGCGGAGGA
rnacentral:misc_RNA from 1 species